UCUAUUUGAUUCUAGGACACCGUCGAAACAUUAUGUAAGUAUCUAUUUGGUUAGAUGUUGGAUUUGUUUACGCUUUGAAUAGAUGCGUAUGUAUCUGUCAAUUUACUUGGGCAUAGCUAACAUCAAGUACAUUUCGUUGUAUUGUUUUGGACUCUUGUUCUAAUUUAUGUCUAGAAUAGCACUCUAAUUAUCAGAUUUAACUGGGGUUUGUCACGCUCAAUCAAUAAACGAUGAUUUUACUUCAUUAGUAUAGUGGUGAGAAGGUUUGUGUACCUGACAUCAGAAGUUUUUAAAAUUAUAUGGUGAAAUAUAGUUAAUAGAAUGUGAAGAACUUUUCUUUUUUCCUUUUGCAAUUAUUUUUAUAAUUGUUAUUAAGUAGGAUAUCUAUUGGAUUAUUUGGGUUACAUUCAACAGGUUUUUUUGCUGACUUGUUCUUCUGUCUAUGAACCUGUAUCAUAUGGUGGGUGUUCCAUGAUUAAGGUUUGUUUUAGUUGGUAAUUUUGAGGUGUUUGAUUUGUGUAUUGCUAGACUAAAUCCUCCAUUACACAAGCUAUUGCAUGUCUUGUGUAAACUGUAAACCAUGAGUUUAGCAUGAUUUUCAAUUGUGAAUAUUAGAAUAUGGAAAAGACUAAAAUGUUGAAGCAGCCUGCUGUUAUGUAAUGUUAGCUGCAAUUACAAUGUGGCAAACAUACCAUCAGGCAUUUGCAAGUAUUUCAAUAUUUAAUAGUUAAGGAAUAUGUAGAUAGGGUGAAAGAUUAUGAUAUUUUUUAAGAAUAAAUGUUGCCAUACAUGUAUUCUGUUGAUUUUAGAAAUCUUGGAUAUCCUCUUAAGUUGGCAGGUUUCUGAAGCGUCUCUUUUCCUCUCUGGAGAACCUAAGAUUGGUUGCCAUUGUGGCAUGUUUGUUUUUGUUUUGUUUUUGGUUUAAUAUGUUCUUACUGUGGAUGAUACUGAAAUUUCAUUCCAGAUUUUGGCAGUGACUGCACCUAGGUUCCAUUUAUCAAGCAGUUCCAAGAAAGUUGUUAAGUGAUAUUUCAGUUUCUUUUGCUCGGGGUGGAAUGCCGGUCACCGUAAGAUUCUUGCCGGGUCUGAUUGAGCAUUGUUGCGGUAGGAUUAGACUGAAACGAGAGAUUUGCGUUCAUCUUAAGUUUAUUUGAGGGGUGUUUUUCUGGUUUUUAUAAAAAGCCACUAUGACCCGAUAACAUUGCGUUUCGAUUAUUGUUAAUAUUAUAUAAAUUGAAAUUGAAUCUCAUUUAGGUGUUCUGGUAGGGCGUGUGAGUGGCCCUGUUUGAGUUUAUUGGUGUAAAAUUUACGAGUGAUUGCGGGUAACAUUAUUUUCAAGAUCUUCGUUGAUGGAAUUAUCCCAUAUGACAAUACACGAAGCAAAACGAAUGGUGGAGGCGAAAUAGUGGGUUAUAAAUUGUUAGGUCAGGAUCAUUCUGUCCUCAAUGGUGGUUCGUACUCUUUCUUAAACUAUAGAAGUGAAGUUUCUUGUGGCAAAUACCAACAUUGACAAGGUAAAUUUUUGUCGAAAUUAAUUACAUCUAAUCCUUGUUUUUUAUAAUUUAGAUCGAAGCCUGCAGUGAAACUUGAAAAACGUUGGUUAUGUAAUAU